UACAGAGGGUGCAAGCGUUAAUCGGAAUUACUGGGCGUAAAGCGUGCGUAGGUGGUUUGUUAAGUCUGAUGUGAAAGCCCUGGGCUCAACCUGGGAAUUGCAUUGGAUACUGGCAGGCUAGAGUGCGGUAGAGGAUGGCGGAAUUCCCGGUGUAGCAGUGAAAUGCGUAGAGAUCGGGAGGAACACCGGUGGCGAAGGCGGCGAUCUGGGUCGAGUACUGACGCUGAGGUGCGAAAGCGUGGGGAGCAACAGGG
rnacentral:rRNA from 1 species